UACGUAGGUGACAAGCGUUAUCCGGAAUUACUGGGCGUAAAGCGCACGCAGGCGGCGCGGUAAGUCUGAUGUGAAAUCUCCCGGCUUAACUGGGGGGGGUCAUUGGAAACUGCCGAGCUUGAGGCGAUGAGAGGGGUGUAGAAUUCCCGGUGUAGUGGUGGAAUGCGUAGAUAUCGGGAGGAAUACCAGUGGCGAAGGCGGUUGCCUGGAGCUUUGCUGACGCUGAUGCGCGAAAGCGUGGGGAGCGAUCCGG
rnacentral:rRNA from 1 species